AGGGCGCAAGUGGUGCCCCCGCAAUAUUACGAAAUCGCAGCCAACUUAAUAUGCCCCCUCGCGAUUUUAGCGUUUCUAAAUCAGUUUGUUUACCUCCGCUAUCAACGUCGAAAUGCUCACGUUCGAAUUUAGCAGCAGCUUAAUAGAAGUAAUGGGCAGAUAGCAGCAAAAUUGAUUAAUGAAGAUUGAUGAAUGUGGUGUAACGCUUCGUAGUGUGCGAAAUAGUGAGGAAAAACGAAAGCUUAUAUGCCCUUUAGAUUAGCAUCCGCUUGGAAUAACAUGCCGUCUAUAUGGAUAUAUGCUUAUCUAUGUAUGGCUAACUUUCCUUGUGUUUACUCUGGUAACAUAUCUUUUCGGGCUUCCUAUAGACAAUGGUAGGGAAUUGCUUGAGCGAACGAUUUUACAACAUAAUCUAUUGCAUAUAGGAAACCUGGGUAUACAAAGGACUCUCUUGGAAAGUGCUAACUUUUCAGGCAUUAUUGAUCUGCUCUUUUGAGACGUGAUCGAGCAGGGCACACACAUUGAAGCUGGGAGGAAGAAGGAGGGAACUUCGAUCUUUUAAAAAGCACCCGAAGACACACCCACUGAACUAAGAAUAACAGAGGCGACGAUGCGUUUUCAAAGUCAAGCUAUAAAAUGUCCCUAACAUGACUAAGUCGUAAAUAUGUCCACGGUGCUCAAAUACUCGGGCCGUCGUUAGUAAGCUAGCGCAAUUCUAAUCCGUCGAUUGAAUGAUCACUUCUUAAAUGACGCUCGGGUGGAAACCAAUGGCUUUUCUCUCUUUUUUUGCUGAUUGAGAUGACUAAACGAUACCUGGUCGUGCUUUUAGACAGUACACCUUGACUACGAAAGGUUGGUGUUUGGAGGAGUUGCGUGUAGAUUGCUGAGGCAGCAUGAGGGUGGCUACGUCCGCUUGUCAGCUUCUGUUGUUGACGCCCG